CAGUGUGUCAUCUGGAAGUACGGAUUAGGUUUGGAUGUGCACAAACAUGAAAUGCUGACAGGACCCGUCAGGAUCACAGCGGUUUUUUUGAAGAGAGAUGAGAGAAAAAAUACAUCACAGUACCUCCGGCCAUGCUUGUUCUGGCUAUUGUGAUGUUAGGGUUAGGGAUGUGUUCACUGUUUUCUAAUGAAGUGUGUAAAUCUUUAAUAAUGUUUAUUUGCUUGGGUAUUUUAGGAGUGUUUUUCUAAACAUGGAGAAAAAAGAUGGAAGAAACCGAUCUGAAUUUCCCGUCUCCUGCCUCCGAUGAUCACUGUGACCUCAGAGGGCAACUGGUCUGCAAAGCUGGAACUGGAGUGAGGGAGAGAGGAGUCAUCAUCCAGCCUGAAAGAAAACAUCCGGCUGAUCAGCAGGAGGAGAAAAGUCUGAGGGAGCAGCAGAGGAACAUUUUCAGCCGUUUGCACUCAGCUCAGCUACUACAGAGAAAAUGAUGAGCUCAACACAGAAGGACCAACACAGACCGAAAAGUCAGCGCUCUCAGGAGGCCGACAAACCUCACAGAAGAAAGAGAGAGAAAAACUACAGCUGUGACGAGUGUGGGAAGGAUUUUUCUCGCAAAGCUUCACUAACAACGCUUCAAGUCAUGCACACUGGAGAGAGACCGUUCAGCUGUGACUUGUGUGGAAAGUCUUUUCCCUGGGAUAGUUGCCUAAGAAAACACCAACUCUUCCACAGAGGAGUUAAAGCAUACAGCUGUGAUCAGUGUGACAGAGCUUUUGAUUGCAGUUGCAGCUUACAGAGGCAUCUGGUUACCCACUCUGGAACUCAGGCAUAGAGCUGUGACAUUUGUGGAAAAACUUUCAGUCGGCGAGACAGCCGAAAUAGACACCUACGCAUUCACACCAGACAUGUUGUGUACUGGUGUGAUCAGCGUGGCAAACGGUUUGUAACAGAUGUACAGUUACAAAGCCACAUGUUUACCCACACUGAGGAGAAACCUUAUAAAUGUGACCUGUGUGAGAAGACUUUUAAAUCUCCACGUUA